UGAACGCUAGCUACAGGCUUAACACAUGCAAGUCGAGGGGCAGCAUGGUCUUAGCUUGCUAAGGCCGAUGGCGACCGGCGCACGGGUGAGUAACACGUAUCCAACCUGCCGUCUACUCUUGGACAGCCUUCUGAAAGGAAGAUUAAUACAAGAUGGCAUCAUGAGUCCGCAUGUUCACAUGAUUAAAGGUAUUCCGGUAGACGAUGGGGAUGCGUUCCAUUAGAUAGUAGGCGGGGUAACGGCCCACCUAGUCUUCGAUGGAUAGGGGUUCUGAGAGGAAGGUCCCCCACAUUGGAACUGAGACACGGUCCAAACUCCUACGGGAGGCAGCAGUGAGGAAUAUUGGUCAAUGGGCGAGAGCCUGAACCAGCCAAGUAGCGUGAAGGAUGACUGCCCUAUGGGUUGUAAACUUCUUUUAUAAAGGAAUAAAGUCGGGUAUGCAUACCCGUUUGCAUGUACUUUAUGAAUAAGGAUCGGCUAACUCCGUGCCAGCAGCCGCGGUAAUACGGAGGAUCCGAGCGUUAUCCGGAUUUAUUGGGUUUAAAGGGAGCGUAGAUGGAUGUUUAAGUCAGUUGUGAAAGUUUGCGGCUCAACCGUAAAAUUGCAGUUGAUACUGGAUAUCUUGAGUGCAGUUGAGGCAGGCGGAAUUCGUGGUGUAGCGGUGAAAUGCUUAGAUAUCACGAAGAACUCCGAUUGCGAAGGCAGCCUGCUAAGCUGCAACUGACAUUGAGGCUCGAAAGUGUGGGUAUCAAACAGGAUUAGAUACCCUGGUAGUCCACACGGUAAACGAUGAAUACUCGCUGUUUGCGAUAUACGGCAAGCGGCCAAGCGAAAGCGUUAAGUAUUCCACCUGGGGAGUACGCCGGCAACGGUGAAACUCAAAGGAAUUGACGGGGGCCCGCACAAGCGGAGGAACAUGUGGUUUAAUUCGAUGAUACGCGAGGAACCUUACCCGGGCUUAAAUUGCAGAUGAAAUACGGUGAAAGCCGUAAGCCGCAAGGCAUCUGUGAAGGUGCUGCAUGGUUGUCGUCAGCUCGUGCCGUGAGGUGUCGGCUUAAGUGCCAUAACGAGCGCAACCCUUGUUGUCAGUUACUAACAGGUUCCGCUGAGGACUCUGACAAGACUGCCAUCGUAAGAUGUGAGGAAGGUGGGGAUGACGUCAAAUCAGCACGGCCCUUACGUCCGGGGCUACACACGUGUUACAAUGGGGGGUACAGAGGGCCGCUACCACGCGAGUGGAUGCCAAUCCCAAAAACCUCUCUCAGUUCGGACUGGAGUCUGCAACCCGACUCCACGAAGCUGGAUUCGCUAGUAAUCGCGCAUCAGCCACGGCGCGGUGAAUACGUUCCCGGGCCUUGUACACACCGCCCGUCAAGCCAUGGGAGCCGGGGGUACCUGAAGUGCGUAACCGCGAGGAGCGCCCUAGGGUAAAACUGGUGACUGGGGCUAA
rnacentral:rRNA from 1 species